UACGUAGGCAGCAAGCGUUGUUCGGAAUUACUGGGCGUAAAGAGUGUGUAGGCGGCUUGUCACGUCGGAUGUGAAAGCCCGGGGCUUAACUCCGGGUCUGCAUUCGAUACGGGCUGGCUAGAGUGUGGUAGGGGAGAUCGGAAUUCCUGGUGUAGCGGUGAAAUGCGCAGAUAUCAGGAGGAACACCGGUGGCGAAGGCGGAUCUCUGGGCCAUUACUGACGCUGAGGAGCGAAAGCGUGGGGAGCGAACAGG
rnacentral:rRNA from 1 species